GGUUGAGUUCAACUGUGUGACCAAGGAUUCAAUCAACCAUGUCUAUGUAAUGCAAUUCUAAUUAAAACUCGGCAUCCAUGGAGCUCAGUGUUUUGGCAGUAUAGGAUUUUCCCCCUCAAGUGAAGUCACCAUAGCACACCCACCACCAAAGUACCCAUGAAGUCUUCCAGCACAGUCCAUUUUGCUCUUCCUCACCCUCUGGAUGCCUCAGAACUAUGCAUAAUUCCUCCCGGCUCCAUACAUGUUGUUGCAAAUGGCAUGAGAUCACUAGAUUUGGAACAUAGCAAUAGAAAACUAAUAUAACUGCAAACAGAAGGAUGAUUGGCCAAGGUGAAAAUACAGUAUUUCCCAGUGAGUAA